rnacentral:lncRNA from 1 species
GCCCGCGCGGGCGCCGAGAGGAGAGGCGAGGCGGGGAGCGCGAGCGGCGGCCACUGCCACGUAUUCCCGGCAGUGGCGGYGGAGGUGGCGGCGCCCGCGGCAGGAAUAUUCAAGAUACCUUUACUGGAAAUCAUUUUGCUGAAAUUAUUGAAACAGUGAUUCUUGAAUUUGAAGACAAGGGUUAUUCUCCUUUCCCUACCCCAAAGCCCACUCUUAGGAGACUUCAGAGAACACUGAGACACUGCUGGGAAUCUCUCUCCCCGUCUUGACUACAGGAGUGUGGACCUUUCUUCACGGCCUCUCUGGACACACUGUCUUGCAUCCUCCAGGAAAGAUGCGGCAGCUCAAAGGGAAGCCCAAGAAGGAGACAUCCAAGGACAAGAAGGAGCGGAAGCAGGCCAUGCAGGAGGCCCGACAACAGAUCACCACAGUGGUGCUGCCCACACUGGCUGUGGUGGUGCU